UUCUUUCUUCCCCCCUCUGAAUAGCUCCAUUUCUUUGUAUAGUGCAUUGAAAAUUUUAUCUGAUCUUUUAAAUAUAAAGUAUCUGCCAUCAGGUGUCUAGCUAUCAUUUAAACCUCAUAGCUAGAAAUCAUUAAAUAUUUUUUUAAUUCACCAUCCAACCCUUUAAUUUUGAAAGGAUUACUCCUCAUAAUUUCUUGUUGCAUGUGAAAAAAAUGAUUUAUUAUGUAAAAUCAUAUAAAUGUGCUAUUAUGUAGUAUGUUUAUUUUUCUUUCUUGAUAUAUAUAUUUGCCCCCCUUCAUAAGUUUUCUGGCUCUUUCACUCCAACUCAAUAUCUAUUGAACUAAAGUAUGAACAGCAGUGCAGUAAUCAUAAAACGGAUAAUUAAAAUUAGUCUAUAAUUAAAGUCAAAAUAAGUGUAAGUCAAAUCAAAUUAAUUACGAAAUAUGCUCUAAUCCAUCGGCUAUCGCACAGCUUUACCCAUACAUAAAACCUAAGGAGAUAGAGAAAGAAGAAGAAAAUGAUGAUGCAAACAGACAAACACAUCAAGAUUUUACAGCUUACGGCAAAUAAAAUUCACUUAUGCACAAGCUCGAUAAAUGAAUCAAGUCAUUAAAGCACCUGACGUACUGCUGGACAAUUAUUUCGCUAGUGCUCAAUUCACUCUUAAGAAAAUGAGGGAAAAUCGAAUUGAAGAGUAA
rnacentral:misc_RNA from 1 species